GGAUGCUUGGUGCAAUGGUCAGCAUAAGGGUCUCCAAAACCUUUGAUUGCGGUUCGAGUCCGUAAGCAUCUGCCA
rnacentral:tRNA from 1 species